GCAUAUCAAUAAGCGGAGGAAAAGAAACCAACUGGGAUUACCUUAGUAACGGCGAGUGAAGCGGUAAAAGCUCAAAUUUGAAAUCUGGUACUUUCAGUGCCCGAGUUGUAAUUUGUAGAAUUUGUCUUUGAUUAGGUCCUUGUCUAUGUUCCUUGGAACAGGACGUCAUAGAGGGUGAGAAUCCCGUUUGGCGAGGAUACCUUUUCUCUGUAAGACUUUUUCGAAGAGUCGAGUUGUUUGGGAAUGCAGCUCAAAGUGGGUGGUAAAUUCCAUCUAAAGCUAAAUAUUGGCGAGAGACCGAUAGCGAACAAGUACAGUGAUGGAAAGAUGAAAAGAACUUUGAAAAGAGAGUGAAAAAGUACGUGAAAUUGUUGAAAGGGAAGGGCAUUUGAUCAGACAUGGUGUUUUUUGCAUGCACUCGCCUCUCGUGGGCUUGGGCCUCUCAAAAAUUUCACUGGGCCAACAUCAAUUCUGGCAGCAGGAUAAAUCAUUAAGAAUGUAGCUACUUCGGUAGUGUUAUAGCUUUUUGGAAUACUGUUAGCCGGGAUUGAGGACUGCGCUUCGGCAAGGAUGUUGGCAUAAUGGUUAAAUGCCGCCCGUCUUGAAACACGGACCAAGGAGUCUAACGUCUAUGCGAGUGUUUGGGUGUAAAA
rnacentral:rRNA from 1 species